rnacentral:rRNA from 1 species
AACGUAGGACGCAAGCGUUAUCCGGAGUUACUGGGCGUAAAGCGCGGGCAGGCGGUUCUGCCAGUCUGAUGUGAAAUCUCCUCGCUCAACGGGGAGCAGCCAUUGGAAACUACAGAACUGGAGUCUGGCAGAGGUAGGCGGAAUUCCGGGUGGAGUGGUGAAGUGCGUAGAGAUCCGGAGGAACACCAGAGGCGAAGGCGGCCUACUGGGCCAGUACUGACGCUGAGCCGCGAAAGCCAGGGGAGCGAACGGG